rnacentral:tRNA from 1 species
GUCUCCGUGGCGCAAUUGGUUAGCGCGUUCGACUGUUACCCCAGUUUAGCCUGAUGAUCGAGAGGUUGACAGUUCAAUCCUGUCCGGGGACG